rnacentral:rRNA from 1 species
GGGAGACAGGUGGUGGCAUGGUUGUCGUCAGCUCGUGUCGUGAGAUGUUGGUUAAGUCCCGCAACGAGCGCAACCCCUACGUUUAGUUGCUAACGCGUGAAGGCGAGCACUCUAGACGAACUGCCGUUGACAAAACGGAGGAAGGUGGGGAUGACGUCAAAUCAUCAUGCCCCUUAUGUUCUGGGCUACACACGUGCUACAAUGGCCGGUACAGACGGACGCAAAGCCGCGAGGUGGAGCAAAUCCUAAAAAGCCGGUCUCAGUUCGGAUUGCAGGCUGCAAUUCGCCUGCAUGAAGUCGGAAUCGCUAGUAAUCGCAGGUCAGCAUACUGCGGUGAAUACGUUCCCGGGCCUU